GCGGUUGUGGCGGAACGGCAGACGCACCAUCUUGAGGGGGUGGCGAGGCAACUCGUGUGAGUUCAAAUCUCACCAACCGCACCA
rnacentral:tRNA from 1 species